rnacentral:rRNA from 1 species
GAUGAACGCUGGCGGCGUGCCUAAUACAUGCAAGUCGAGCGAACAGACGAGGAGCUUGCUCCUCUGACGUUAGCGGCGGACGGGUGAGUAACACGUGGAUAACCUACCUAUAAGACUGGGAUAACUUCGGGAAACCGGAGCUAAUACCGGAUAAUAUAUUGAACCGCAUGGUUCAAUAGUGAAAGACGGUUUUGCUGUCACUUAUAGAUGGAUCCGCGCCGCAUUAGCUAGUUGGUAAGGUAACGGCUUACCAAGGCAACGAUGCGUAGCCGACCUGAGAGGGUGAUCGGCACCACUGGAACUGAGACACGGCCCAGACUCCUACGGGAGGCAGCAGUAGGGAAUCUCCCGCAAUGGGCGAAAGCCUGACGGAGCAACGCCGCGUGAGCGAUGAAGGUCUUCGGAUCGUAAAACUCUGUUAUUAGGGAAGAACAAAUGUGUACGUAACUAUGCACGUCUUGACGGUACCUAAUCAGAAAGCCACGGCUAACUACGUG